AUCAAAAUCGACCAAAAUCUACUGUCUACUCUAGCGAAGGAAGACCGAUUCCAGUGAAAGACGUCCACUUCUGCUAAUGUAAGGCCAAAUCCGAUGUUGGAUGUCAGUAUUUUCUCCCUGUUCGGUAUUUGUAUGGAAUUUCGAUGUUUCGCUGAAAAAUAAUGUUGCUACUUCGCCGGUUUUCUUUAACUGAAUGUUGAGCUGUUAGUACAACCUUUAAAGUUGCACCCAGCACAGACAAAGACGGUGUUAGACAAAUUUGCAGCAGUCAGAAUAUUUCAGAUUUGAUAGAUAUGAGUCAAGAAAGACCUUCAAAGCCCAAAAGAAAGACAAGCACGACAUACACAAAACCUGAUAUAAUGACAUCUUUGGCAAACCAAAUAAGGACUUCGUUUAGCCAAAAAUAUAUUGUUCCCGCUAGACAAUCAAACAAAGAGCGGCCGAAUAUUACUGUAGAGAAUCUGCCAGGAGCAGUAGCCCAUGCACAAACUAGAUCAACCACUUCUACAAAAUAUGUUGUUCCUGCUAGACAAUCAAACAAGGAGCAUCUGAAUAUCAUCGAAGAGAAUCUGCUAUUGCCACAAUAUUCAAAAGUAGCAGCCCAUGUACAAAGAAGAUCAACCACUCCUACAACACAAGUAAUAGAGGAACAAGUUUAGUUGGAUUCUACAACUCCUAUUGGAGAUGAACAAUGUGAAGAACAAGAUAAGAAACUAUAGACUUUAUCUAAAAAUAUUUACAUCCUAUUUCAGUCAUAAAAAUGUACCAACAAUAGUGAUUUGGUGAUUUUGUUUGGUUCGAGUAGUUGAAGGCCCUUCUAAUAAAACAAGAAAAAGAGGAAAAACAAAGAUGAAAAGUGUACAUGGACGACAUGAGCAUAAAUUGAUUUUACUUAACAACUUAAAUCAACCCGUCGGUCCUAGUGACGCAGUUGUUACAGAGUUUGGAAGCUUCCUCGGCACAUUGGCAAGGAAUGCGACUCUAUGUCCUCUUGAUAUUUUGGAUUGGAGGAAGAUGGACACAAAAGAGGAUAUAUGGGAAUAUACCAAGGAUAAAUAUGAUAUUCCUGAAGCUGGAAAAAAAUAUACUUUGGAAUCAGUGCAAGCUGUCUGGAGAAAGCACAAGAGUAGAUUGAAAAAAGAUCAUUUUGAUUCCUAUCACAAUGAUGAAACUCGAUUGCAAAAUAUCCCUGAAGGUUUUCCAUCUUCUCAGUUUAAGGAACUCCUUAGGUAUUGGAACUCAGAGAAACUCCAGAAAAUGUCCCAAAUAAUAUUGAGAACCGGAAAAAGUUGAAGAAUCCUCACACUGCUGGAAAAAGAAGUUUUGCUUUAGUUCGCUCAAAGUUGGAAAACGACAAGGAAAAUUGGGAUCCUUUAUCAGCAAAGGAACUCUUUGUAGCUACAAGAAAAAAGGAAAGAUGGGCGAUCAUACAAGUGCUCGGAUGAAGAUACAAACUAGUAAAAUUGUUGAAAUGGAGGAAACUAAAGCACAACAAAAUAAAAAUGGCAAUGAGUCCUUAGAUAAAUUUGCAUCUGUCACGGGGCCUGAACAUUCGAGAUGUCAGAGAUUGUAUGGACGAGGGAACCAAGAACUUCUUUGAGAGGGAAAGUAGGAUGUUUUGAAUCCUCUUCAAAUGCUACAAAUUUUUUACAAAAAU